CGUGCCUAACACAUGCAAGUCGUACGAGAAAUCCUGGGCAACUGGGAGAGUAAAGUGGCGCACGGGUGAGUGACGCGUGGGUAACCUGCCCUUGAAUUGGGGAUAACUUUCCGAAAGGAAAGUUAAUACCGAAUAACAUUCCGAUCUCCCCGGAGGUUGGAAUCAAAGGUGGCCUCUGCAUGCAAGCUACUGUUCAAGGAUGGGCCCGCGUACCAUUAGCUUGUUGGUAGGGUAACGGCCUACCAAGGCAUCGAUGGUUAGCUGGUCUGAGAGGAUGACCAGCCACACUGGAACUGAGACACGGUCCAGACUCCUACGGGAGGCAGCAGUGGGGAAUCUUGCGCAAUGGGGGAAACCCUGACGCAGCAACGCCGCGUGGGUGAUGAAGGCCUUCGGGUCGUAAAGCCCUGUCAGGUGGGAAGAAUCGUAUCGGUACAAACAGUGCCGAUGCUUGACGGUACCACCGAAGGAAGCACCGGCUAACUCCGUGCCAGCAGCCGCGGUAAUACGGAGGGUGCAAGCGUUGUUCGGAAUUACUGGGCGUAAAGCGCGUGCAGGCGGUUGAGCAAGUCAGAUGUGAAAGCCUUCCGCUUAACGGAAGAAGUGCAUUUGAAACUACUCGGCUGGAGUUCGGGAGAGGAGAGUGGAAUUCCCGGUGUAGAGGUGAAAUUAGUAGAUAUCGGGAGGAACACCGGUGGCGAAGGCGGCUCUUUGGCCCGAUACUGACGCUGAGACGCGAAAGCGUGGGGAGCAAACAGGAUUAGAUACCCUGGUAGUCCACGCCGUAAACGAUGAGCACUAGGUGUAGGAGGUAUUGACCCCUUCUGUGCCGAAGCUAACGCAUUAAGUGCUCCGCCUGGGGAG
rnacentral:rRNA from 1 species